GACAGAGGGUGCAAACGUUGUUCGGAAUUACUGGGCGUAAAGCGCGUGUAGGCGGCAAGGUGUGUCGGAUGUGAAAUCCCGUGGCUCAACCAUGGAAGUGCACCCGAAACUACCUCGCUGGAGUCCCGGAGAGGAAGGUGGAAUGCUUGGUGUAGAGGUGAAAUUCGUAGAUAUCAAGCGGAACACCAGUGGCGAAGGCGGCCUUCUGGACGGUGACUGACGCUGAGACGCGAAAGCGUGGGGAGCAAACAGG
rnacentral:rRNA from 1 species